CAAGGCUGUGGUUAGAUGUAAUAGGCUGAGCACUUGCCCUGUAACCCCCUGUGACGAAGCGGGUCUGUUCUUAAUGUUUCCUCUGAAUAGUGUGGGGGUGCCUCGGUUUCCCCUAGGCAGUUCUUAAGUCUCUAGGUGAUGGGAUAAGGGUGUAUGAUUGUUGCAGAGCCCUAGAGGGCAGGUGUGUGCA